AAACGUGAAUGUUUUAGUUACUCACAUAUGUGAUACAUGGCGAUGGCAAGGCUUUAGUGAACAGUUGACUUUUUCUCUAACUCAAGUGUAAAGUGAAUCAAGUGACUAGAGCCCAUUCCCCUAAAAGCACCUAUAAUCGAUAUCACGCGGCUGCUGGCAGGAAUGUGCGUGUACCGAUUCUACAUGCAUCUUCAGGGAGUCUCAGUGCAAUAACAUCCCCUCCCUACCAACGUAGUACGGGCCCUGUCGUCCCCAGUCGGUUGUACAUUGCCUUUUCUAUCAUCGGUAACGUUGAUUGAUUUUCGAAAAGCCAAGAAAAACCUGCAGGUGCGCGUUGAGUUAGACGAGAGAAUCUCCCCCUUUCACAGGUUAAGAGCGUACCUUGGUACACCAUUUAGGCAGAAUGGUCAGUGAGUAAGCGUAAAUCCACGUGGCCUUUUACACAUUCAGUUAUUACUGAUUAUUGGUCGGCGUUAAGUGCAACUUACAAGGGCUUCAAUACGAAAACCAACUGCAAUACACGUCACGUCUAUAUAGAGGCGGUCAAUUCGGGUCACUUAGUCUACGGACGUCCACAAGUGCAGUCACGGCUCCCAAGACGCUUACUGCAAAGAACCAGUGCGGAAAGGAUCAGCCUGCCGGGAAGCCACGUGCGCCGCGACUAAUGAAUAGUGACAGUCUACAGAGGAGAAGUUGUCCACGCAAAGCCGCUGAGUCACUGUUGAAUGGCUUUUAGGGCAGUUUCUAACGGCUUUUAAAAGGAUGCUCGACAAGUGGGAGACAAUCGAUCCAGACUUAGUGGCAUAGAGACACUCCUACAGUAGACAUGGCUGCCGAUGUGGAUUGGCGACAAACUUACGGGGUGAACUUUUAUGGCCGUUCAAUGUCCAGACGUGCGUUGACGUAGUGUAGAUAAAAUUCAGGCAGGACUUACAUUAGCUUUGGACAAGAAGCAGUUGCUCGCAAGGUGAAUCGUUUAGGCCGGACUGUACUUGUCAUCAGGAUCUCUACGAAUUGACUGUGCUCAAUCGUCAAAUCUAGGACAAAUCAUUCAAGGUACCGGUACAAUGAAACAUCAUCAGUUGUACGAGCUUCCAGCAUUGUUUAGGUGCUUCCGUUGAAUCCGAUUGAAACAGUUCCAGGUCGCCAAGUAAAGGCUUCGCAUGCAUAGAAGGAGCCUUCUAUUACCAGACACCAAACGCAUCUAUACAAUCGUGAUUCAAAGUAAACUCAAUAGUCGUCGAAGCUCAACAAGCGCUUCUAAGUGUAGCCUGGCACUAAUUAGAAACAUUUUCGGAACGAUUAAGAACACACAAACAUUUACAAAAUGUACAAUUUUAACUGACAUCUCGAUUUUUGGGAAUAAUAACACCGGCUAUACUUCGGAUACGAUAACACAACCCUGAAUUUCUCUGUCUAUCUGAGUUUUUAUAUAUACGAAAAAAGAUUGUUUGUACAGUGAGUAGCGUGGCUGACUUAAUCAAGAAUCAGAGGAAAGCAAAACAGAGGUAAAAAAAAAAAGAGACUCUCACCAUUAGGCUUCGUCAGACCCGGCCCGGAAAUUAAAAUAAAUUUUGCCCAGAAUAUUUUAAACUUGAUAGUAAAA
rnacentral:lncRNA from 11 species